ACGGGAGGCAGCAGUGAGGGAUAUUGCACAAUGGGGGAAACCCUGAUGCAGCGACGCCGCGUGAGUGAAGAAGUAUUUCGGUAUGUAAAGCUCUAUCAGCAGGGAAGAAAAUGACGGUACCUGACUAAGAAGCCCCGGCUAACUACGUGCCAGCAGCCGCGGUAAUACGUAGGGGGCAAGCGUUAUCCGGAUUUACUGGGUGUAAAGGGAGCGUAGACGGCAUGGCAAGUCUGAAGUGAAAGCUCGGGGCUCAACCCCGGAACUGCUUUGGAAACUGUCAAGCUAGAGUAUCGGAGAGGUAAGCGGAAUUCCUAGUGUAGCGGUGAAAUGCGUAGAUAUUAGGAGGAACACCAGUGGCGAAGGCGGCUUACUGGACGGUAACUGACGUUGAGGCUCGAAAGCGUGGGGAGCAAACAGGAUUAGAUACCCUGGUA
rnacentral:rRNA from 1 species